GAGUUAGUGUGCUGUUGCGGUUCGAGUGUUAGACUAGGACUCUGGAGACCAGGGUUCGAAUCCCCGCUCAGCCA